rnacentral:pre_miRNA from 1 species
CUAGUACUCCCUCCGUUCCGAAUUACUUGUCGCGGGUAUGGAUGUAUCUAGAUGUAUUUUAGUUCUAGAUACAUCCAUUUCUGCGACGAGUAAUUUGGAAUGGAGGGAGUACUUC